rnacentral:rRNA from 1 species
UACGGAGGGUGCAAGCGUUAUCCGGAUUCACUGGGGUUAAAGGGUGCGUAGGCGGGUUGGUAAGUCCGUGGUGAAAUCUCCGAGCUUAACUCGGAAACUGCCGUGGAUACUAUCAAUCUUGAAUAUCGUGGAGGUAAGCGGAAUAUGUCAUGUAGCGGUGAAAUGCUUAGAUAUGACAUAGAACACCAAUUGCGUAGGCAGCUUACUACACGAUCAUUGACGCUGAGGCACGAAAGCGUGGGGAGCAAACGGG